GAUGAACGCUGGCGGCGUGCCUAAUACAUGCAAGUCGAGCGAAUGGAUUGAGAGCUUGCUCUCAAGAAGUUAGCGGCGGACGGGUGAGUAACACGUGGGUAACCUGCCCAUAAGACUGGGAUAACUCCGGGAAACCGGGGCUAAUACCGGAUAACAUUUUGAACUGCAUGGUUCGAAAUUGAAAGGCGGCUUCGGCUGUCACUUAUGGAUGGACCCGCGUCGCAUUAGCUAGUUGGUGAGGUAACGGCUCACCAAGGCAACGAUGCGUAGCCGACCUGAGAGGGGGAUCGGCCACACUGGGACUGAGACACGGCCCAGACUCCUACGGGAGGCAGCAGUAGGGAAUCUUCCGCAAUGGACGAAAGUCUGACGGAGCAACGCCGCGUGAGUGAUGAAGGCUUUCGGGUCGUAAAACUCUGUUGUUAGGGAAGAACAAGUAUCGGAGUAACUGCCGGUACCUUGACGGUACCUAACCAGAAAGCCACGGCUAACUACGUGCCAGCCGCCGCUGUAACAC
rnacentral:rRNA from 1 species